rnacentral:siRNA from 1 species
AGGAAAUUCGUCGGCGAUUUUGG